GAUGUAAACAGACACCGUAACGGGACGAGGAACGCAGAGAUAAGAUGCCGACACGCAGACAGAGCGACACACAGCUAGGCAGACGUGCACAGACCCUGGCCCUGGGUUCGGGAGAAUACUGUCUCACCUGGGAAAACCCAACCUGCUUCCCCUCAGUGGAGCCACAACAAGCACUGGAUCGCAUCUUCCAAGAGAAUUUGUUCCAAAGAUGAAGGGAGAUCACAACCUGAUCACAGGGCCAGUCAUGCUCACAAAGCACUGAUUGAUUCUGCUGCCUCAGUGAUCUGGAGCCAGCAACCAAGAUGGGGAAGGCUACAAACUGCCAAGGUGGGGGCCCAGGAAAGCAGAGCCAGAAAGGAUCAAUUCAAACAUCCAAGAACACAUCACACGGGGCCCCAGCGCUACGAAGACGCUAACCGCACACCGAGAACUUGGGAAGUAAGAUGUAAACCAAUCCACCUGUCUGUAACAGAGCUAGCCACCAUGGGCACUGGGCAACUGAAUCCUCUGGUCAGCCCUUUCUCUCUCUAGGAAAUCUAAAUUGGAAGUCAAAUUAUCAAAAGAUCCCUAUGGGCUGGUGCCGCGGCUCACUAGGCUAAUCCUCCACCUAGCGGCGCCGGCACACCGGGUUCUAGUCCCGGUUGGGGCACCGGCUUCUGUCCCCGUUGCCCCUCUUCCAGGCCAGCUCUCUGCUAUGGCCAGGGAGUGCAGUGGAGGAUGGCCCAAGUGCUUGGGCCCUGCACCCCAUGGGAGACCAGGAUAAGUACCUGGCUCCUGCCAUCGGAUCAGCGCGGUGCGCUGGCCGCAGCGCGCUGGCUGCGGCGGCCAUUGGAGGGUGACCCAACGGCAAAGGAAGACCUUUCUCUCUGUCUCUCUCUCUCACUGUCCACUCUGCCUGUCAAAAAAAAAAAAAAAAAAUCCCUAUGAAGGAUGGGGUCAGGCAAGGGUAGAGAAUGAAGAGUAAUGGAAGCAGAGCUGUGACUGUCAUCCAUGUGCAAUCACCUGCCACAGGGUGUUCCAGCCACAGGGACCAGGCGCAGGCAGAGUUCUCUGAACAGCCCUGGAUAAAUCGCUUCUCUAAUUUUCAGUAGCAGUCACUGAACACCAGGUACUAUGUUUUUCUAAGAAUUAUCUGUUUAUUUUGAUAGUAGGUAUAUAUAUAUAUCAUAUAUGUGUGUGUGUAUAUAUAUACUAUACACACAUAAAUAUGAUACUGUUAUUUCCAUUCCCAUUUUCUAGAUGGGAAAGUUGAGGGAAAUGGACAAGGAACUUGCCCAAGGUAAUAAGGUCACUGCUAGAGACAAAAUGUGGACCCAGGCCUGUGUCGGUCCAGAGCCAGCGCUCUAAAUAAAGUGUUCCACUGCCCCCAGUUUUCAAGAGGCCCAGUCAGCUAUUUCAAUAUGACCACAGUGGGGGCCGGCGCCGUGGCUCACUUGGUUAACCCUUCGCUUGUGGCGCCGCAUCCCAUAUGGGUGCCGGGUUCUAGUCCGGUUGCCCCUCUUCCAGUCCAGCUCUCUGCUGUGGCCCGGGAAGGGAAGGCAGUGGAGGAUGGCCCAAGUGCUUGGGUCCUGCACCCACAUGGGAGACCAGGAGGAGGUGCCUGGCUCCUGAUCUGCGCAGUGCGCCAGCCUUAGCGGCCAUUUGGGGGGUGAACCGGCAGAGCAAAGACCUUUCUCUCUCUCUCUCACUGUCUAAUUCUGCCUGUCAAAUAAAAAAAUACAUAUAUAUGACCACAGUGAUCAGGCACCACAUAGCACCCUUAGGUCACCACAUACUUGCUGCACAAUGGCAGUGGACACGGUGCUCUGACCAGGUUCUUUUGGACUCCUUUUGCCAGUUGUUGCAUGUCCCUAGGCUUUGGCAUGUGUUUGCUUCUGACAUGACUCUUAGGGUAAAGGUAAGUGACCACAACCUUGCUCGGCCUCCUCUUCCUCAUUCCCCCAAUCCCUUAGCAACUUCCCCUGGGAGCAGUUAACAAGCAGAUGGCUCCAAUGCGAACCUUCAUCUCAGGAUUUGCUUCCAGUGGGUGCAACCUGUGACCUACAGCAGGGGUUGCCAAAUCCAGCUGCCAUCUGUUCUCAUAAAUAGUUUUAUUGGAAAACAACUAUUCUUAUUCACUUAUAUAUUGCUUGUAGUUGCUUUUUCACUACGACAGCACAACUGAGUAGUAGUGCUAGUAGUAGUAGCAGUAAAGAGGCUGCACAGCCUACAGAAUCUAAAAUAUUAGCCAUCUGGCCAUUUUCAGAGAACGCAGACCCCUAACCUAGAGUAAGGCUCUUAAAAUUUGUCAUGAUUAUACUGCAGUAUCUAGUAUAAUCAUGAGUUCACAAAGGGGAAACUGAAGUGCAAAGAGUUUAGAAUUUGCUCAUGGCAAUGUCAUUAAAAGGUCUAGGAUAAAGGAUAGCUAAAAUAUAAUACUGGUCUAAGAAAUUCUUUUGUCUUGGGGCUCAGUUUCUAAAACUCCAGAUUUGUCAUCUGGGAAAAAAAAGUGAGAGGGAGGGAGGCUGAUGCCGUGGUGAAGCAAGUAAAGAUGCCUCCUGUAGUGCUGGCAUCCCAUAUGGGCGCUGGUUUGAGUCCCAGCUGCUCCACUUCGGACCCAGCUCUCUGCUAUGGUCUGGGAAAGUAGUAGAAGAUGGCGCAAGUCCUUGGCUUCCUGCACCCAUGUGGGAGACCUGGAAGAAGCUCCUGGCUCCAAACUUCAGAUGAGCACAGCUCCAGCCAUUACAGCCAGCUGGGGAGUGAACCAGCAGAUGAAAGACCUCUCUCUCUCUCUCUCUCUCUGCCUCUCCUUCUCUCUCUGGGUAACUCUUUCAAAUAAAUAAAUUAAUAUUUAAAAAAAAAGUGAGAGAGAGGAAGAGUACCUACAACAAUAAUCUACACUGUAGAGAACAAAUAGGAUUAUAACUUGUCUAAAAAGGAAGGCAAUUCAAAGUUGCUAUUAUUGCAUGGUCAUUUUCAUUCUUUCUUAUGUUUAAUAUCAAGAUAGCAUAUAUAUAUAUUAUGCAAUCUUAGGUAUGAUUUUUUAAAAUGUUUAAGUAGAAAUGCAAAUGAAUAACUGGAUGACAUGGAGUUCUAUGUUUAUGAUUGCUUCUGCCAAUUAUAGUUCAUGGGAUUAGAGUUGUUGCUGGAUUAGGAAUGCUUAAAUCUUUAUCCAUUGACUUCACACUAGUAUUUACUAUGUCAGACAAUAUUCUUUGGGUAGAUUGCUCUUUCUUGCCAAAUUGAAAAUUUCAUGGGGGCAAGAAACUUGUUUGCCUUGAAAUUAACUCAGCAUCUGGACAGAGUAAGUUUCUUAGUUCAAUGAAUAAAUGAGGAUAUAAAAACAAACAAA